rnacentral:rRNA from 1 species
UGGGGAAUCUUGGACAAUGGGCGCAAGCCUGAUCCAGCCAUGCCGCGUGAGUGAAGAAGGCCUUAGGGUUGUAAAGCUCUUUUACCAGGGACGAUAAUGACGGUACCUGGAGAAUAAGCCCCGGCAAACUUCGUGCCAGCAGCCGCGGUAAUACGAAGGGGGCUAGCGUUGUUCGGAAUUACUGGGCGUAAAGCGCACGUAGGCGGGUCGUUAAGUCAGGGGUGAAAUCCCGGAGCUCAACUCCGGAACUGCCUUUGAUACUGGCGAUCUAGAGGUCGAGAGAGGUGAGUGGAAUUCCGAGUGUAGAGGUGAAAUUCGUAGAUAUUCGGAAGAACACCAGUGGCGAAGGCGGCUCACUGGCUCGAUACUGACGCUGAGGUGCGAAAGCGUGGGGAGCAAACAGGAUUAGAUACCCGAGUAGUCCCUGAGCGGGCUGGCAAGGCGCAU